UGAUACCCAAAAUGAGACUGACAAAGAACAGGACAAACAACAAAUGUACUUAGAGACAAUCAUUUCAGAGAGAAAUUCAAGUACCUAUAACUGCCUUUUUCCUCUCUGUCUCAGCUUCUUUUUCCACAACCUUUUGUUUCUGUGCAGCUAUAAGGAGUUUUGUCUUCUCAGCCUCCCUGUGAAGCAAAAUGUUAUAAAAAUUAGAAAUGAUUCUCUUAUGUGCAGUCACAGCCAGUAAUUCUGACCCUAUAGUGAGUCGGAGAACCGUUUUUUCAACACGAGCUUUUGGACUCAUUAAGCCAGCCCUGGAUACAUAAAAGAGAAGACCACCAGGAGUCAACAGAAGCAAGGCUUCCCCAGAGGCACAUUAUAAAGAACCAGGUCUAAUUUUAGAUAUACAAUCACAUACAAUGGAAAACCAAACUUUAUACCAACAAGAUAUCUACUCCUACCAUUACAACACAGAAACAAAAUAUGAGCACUCUCUUCAACCCUAACACAGGUUCAGGACUCUUUCCUCUAUUAAAUAUUUAAUUCAAGGUACUAUUCAUAUAAAAUUAUAGCUCCUUAAGCUUCCAACAAUAGUUUUACAGCAAACUGCAUCUUUAGACACUGACACUUCUCCUGAAAUAUCCACACAUACAGAAGAACACUAAUAAGAGUCUAGUGGGAAUUAAGACACAAGAGUAGCAAUAUUACUAGAGUAAGAGUAAAGAAGAUACACACAUACUCCACCCCAGAGUGUAUUAUCUCACAUGUUUCCUCUAGACUGGAGUGUUAAUAUGCAGACAGCCCUGAACAGAAAUAUUGGGAUCCCAUGCAUAUUACUCACAUUAACUCAAAAUUUCUUCUUAUGGCUUCUGGGAUUUUGGGUUUUGUAACACGCACAGCCUAAAAAAUAAAAGUGAAAAAGCCAAAGUAUA